CACAUGCAAGUCGAGGGGCAGCAUGAUUGUAGCAAUACAGAUUGAUGGCCGACCGGGCGCACGGGUGAGUAACGCGUAUGCAACUUACCUAUCAGAGGGGGAUAGCCCGGCGAAAGUCGGAUUAAUACCCCAUAAAACAGGGGUCCCGCAUGGGAAUAUUUGUUAAAGAUUCAUCGCUGAUAGAUAGGCAUGCGUUCCAUUAGGCAGUUGGUGGGGUAACGGCCCACCAAACCGACGAUGGAUAGGGGUUCUGAGAGGAAGGUCCCCCCACAUUGGUACUGAGACACGGACCAAACUCCUACGGGAGGCAGCAGUGAGGAAUAUUGGUCAAUGGCCGAGAGGCUGAACCAGCCAAGUCGCGUGAAGGAAGAAGGAUCUAUGGUUUGUAAACUGCUUUUAUAAGGGAAUAAAGUGGGAGUCGUGACUCUUUUUGCAUGUACCUUAUGAAUAAGGACCGGCUAAUUCCGUG
rnacentral:rRNA from 1 species